AUUGAACGCUGGCGGCAGGCCUAACACAUGCAAGUAGAGCGGAGCGGCGGACGGAUGAGUAAUGCCUUGGAAUCUGCCUGGUAGUGGUGGAUAACGUCCGGACACGGGCGCUAAUACCGCAUAUUAUCAGAUAAGCCUAGGUCGGAUUAGCUAGUUGGUGGGGUAAAGGCCUACCAAGGCGACGAUCCGUAACUGGUCGGAGAGGAUGAUCAGUCACACGGGAAAUUCGACACGGUCCAGACUCCUACGGUAGGCAGCAGUGGGGAAUUUUGGACAAUGGGCUAAAGCCUGAGCAAGCCAUGCCGAGUGUUUGAAGAAGGUUUUCGGAUUGUAAAGCACUUUAAGUUGGGAGGCGUUACCAACAGAAUAAGCACCGGCUAACUUCGUGCCAGCCGCCGCGGUAAUUC
rnacentral:rRNA from 1 species